rnacentral:rRNA from 1 species
AGAGUUUGAUCCUGGCUCAGGACGAGCGCUGGCGGCGUGCUUAACACAUGCAAGUCGAACGGUAAGGCCCUUCGGGGUACACGAGUGGCGAACGGGUGAGUAACACGUGGGUGAUCUGCCCUGCACUUCGGGAUAAGCCUGGGAAACUGGGUCUAAUACCGGAUAGGACCAUGGACUUCACGGUUUGUGGUGGAAAGCUUUUGCGGUGUGGGAUGGGCCCGCGGCCUAUCAGCUUGUUGGUGGGGUAAUGGCCUACCAAGGCGACGACGGGUAGCCGGCCUGAGAGGGUGUCCGGCCACACUGGGACUGAGAUACGGCCCAGACUCCUACGGGAGGCAGCAGUGGGGAAUAUUGCACAAUGGGCGCAAGCCUGAUGCAGCGACGCCGCGUGAGGGAUGACGGCCUUCGGGUUGUAAACCUCUUUCAAUAGGGACGAAGCGCAAGUGACGGUACCUAUAGAAGAAGCACCGGCCAACUACGUGCCAGCAGCCGCGGUAAUUCAUC